rnacentral:rRNA from 1 species
AGCCACACUGGAACUGAGACACGGUCCAGUCUCCUACGGGAGGCAGCAGUGGGGAUUAUUGCACAAUGGGCGCAAGCCUGAUGCAGCCAUGCCGCGUGUAUGAAGAAGGCCUUCGGGUUGUAAAGUACUUUCAGCGGGGAGGAAGGUGUUGUGGUUAAUAACCACAGCAAUUGACGUUACCCGCAGAAGAAGCACCGGCUAACUCCGUGCCAGCAGCCGCGGUAAUACGGAGGGUGCAAGCGUUAAUCGGAAUUACUGGGCGUAAAGCGCACGCAGGCGGUCUGUCAAGUCGGAUGUGAAAUCCCCGGGCUCAACCUGGGAACUGCAUUCGAAACUGGCAGGCUUGAGUCUUGUAGAGGGGGGUAGAAUUCCAGGUGUAGCGGUGAAAUGCGUAGAGAUCUGGAGGAAUACCGGUGGCGAAGGCG